UACCAGCACCCCGAGUGGUCGGGACGUUUUAUUGGGCCUAAAGCAUCCGUAGCCGGUUCUACAAGUCUUCCGUUAAAAUCCACCUGCUUUAACAGAUGGGCUGCGGGAAGAUACUAUAGAGCUAGGAGGCGGGGAGAGGCAAAGCGGUACUCGAUGGGUAGGGGUAAAAAUCCGUUGAUCCAUUGAAAGACCACCAGUGGCGAAAGGCGG
rnacentral:rRNA from 1 species